rnacentral:lncRNA from 1 species
GGGGGGGCCGUCAUCAUCGAAUUCAAGGACGAAUUUAGUUUUUCCAUCUCAUCUUCGAAGCCAAUCCAUGAAUUCUAACCAAUCCGGGAUGACAACCGAAGCGGCAAAGACAACCAUGCACGGCUAAGCCUCUCGUGACUUCUACCCGGAUGAACUUUUGCUUGUUUUUGCAUUAAACUUUGUUUACGGAUUUCUUAUAACUGGUACAGCUUGACCACUUAUGUUGGAUUAUUGGUAACACAAUGUGAAAGCCAAUAGAAGCUAGCUGGAGAGCACUGAAGGCUUGGAAAAGUGGCU